UAUAGAAGAACAAAAAUGAAUUCAAGCAGGAAUUAAUCUGGUGUCAAGGUGUGUGUAAUUACAGUGGAAGCUCUUCUGCGGGCGACGCAGACACACACACAUGCACACGAUGCAGACGGAGAGCGGUGCUUCCAGCUGGAGCCCCACUGCUGUCUGUGUGAUGAGGAAAAAACGGCUGGUGGUUGCGAUAUUGUCUCUUCCUCGCCAUGUUAGCGACAGCAUGUGACAGGGUCAAGUCAAAUGUGACCUGUCGCUCUCUCAGCUAACAAGCCACACUCAC